UAAUAAGUGUUUUAUGGCACUUUUUAAAUCCAUAUCCACCUUGUGUGCAAUGUCAGUCGAUCUUCUUCAUGGAGAUCGACCAAACAUCAACCUUUAUCUUUUAACUCUUUGUCUGAAAAAUAUUAUGAAUAAACAAUUCAUAAAUA
rnacentral:misc_RNA from 1 species